AGAGUUUGAUCCUGGCUCAGGACGAACGCUGGCGGCGCGCUUAACACAUGCAAGUCGAACGAGAACCAGUCCUUCGGGGCUGGGGAAAGUGGCGAACGGGUGAGUAACACGUGGGUAAUCUGCCCUCGGCACCGGAAUAGCCCGGGGAAACUCGGAUUAAUGCCGGAUAGCCUCUCGAGCCCUCGGGUUCGUGAGAAAAGGUAGCUUCGGCCUCUGGCCGAGGAGGAGCCCGCGGCGGAUUAGCUUGUUGGUGAGGUAACGGCUCACCAAGGCGACGAUCCGUAGCUGGUCUGAGAGGACGAUCAGCCACACUGGGACUGAGACACGGCCCAGACUCCUACGGGAGGCAGCAGUGGGGAAUCUUGCGCAAUGGGCGAAAGCCUGACGCAGCGACGCCGCGUGCGGGAAGAAGGCCUUCGGGUUGUAAACCGCUUUCAGGAGGGACGAAGCCACUCGGGUUAAUAGCCCAGAGGGUGACGGUACCUCCAGAAGAAGCCCCGGCUAACUACGUGCCAGCAGCCGCGGUAAUACGUAGGGGGCAAGCGUUGUCCGGAUUUAUUGGGCGUAAAGAGCGUGUAGGCGGCCAGGUAGGUCUGCUGUGAAAACUCGAGGCUCAACCUCGAGACGUCGGCAGAAACCCUCUGGCUAGAGUCCGGAAGAGGAGAGUGGAAUUCCUGGUGUAGCGGUGAAAUGCGCAGAUAUCAGGAAGAACACCCGUGGCGAAGGCGGCUCUCUGGGACGGUACUGACGCUGAGACGCGAAAGCGUGGGGAGCGAACAGGAUUAGAUACCCUGGUAGUCCACGCCGUAAACGAUGGGUGCUAGGUGUGGGAGGUGUCGACUC
rnacentral:rRNA from 1 species